UGUUCUGAUUAAAUUUCCUUGCUGUAUAUGUUUUAAAACUUUUGUACACAUAUUAAACAUUGUUUACAUUGACUAGAUUUUUAUUACAGUAUCUAAAGUACUUACAGCUUUAUCCUGUUGUCUCUCAUUUCUGCCGUUUCUCAUCUAUGGGGGUGUUUCCAUAUGUAUAUGGUUAUUUUUCACUAGGACCUUCUCAGUUUCCUUGGACUUUACUGUUUGAGAGUUCUUUAGGCUAAGAUCAGGAUUAUAAUAAAAUUAUCUAACAGCUACUAGAGUAUUAUCUUUAUGAAAUAAUAAAACAGAUGCUAGUUCCAACAAGGUUGAUAUUAAAAGUGUUUAACAACUGGUAUGGCAUGGAUACAGAACAUCUAAAGAGAUGCUGGCUCAAUCAGGAUAAUUGCUAAGUGUAAAAUAAAAUCCAUAUGAGUGUACUUGCCUGUGCUAGAAAAGCAACAGCAUUUUCUGGAAUGAAGUAAGUUCCUCCAGAGUGAGUUUGCAUUUGGUUAAUAUUUAGAUGCCUGGGGACACUUAAUGUUCAAGAUCACUUUAAAUUAUAAUUUGCCUAUAGAUGUUCUGGGAUCUAAAGUCAUAUGAGUUUUGGCUGCAUACUCUCCCAGUUGCCAUCUUUGGGUUCUAAGUGACCUGUGGUCUCACUCCCGUCCAACCUUCUACUGUGUUCAUAAUUUGUGAUUAAUUGGUUCUCUGUGUGAGUUCUGGCAGAGAAUAGAUGAUUUCUGGUUAAAUCUUACUUUAGGACCUGUUGGAGCCUCAGCUUUGAAGGAGAAAGUUCUAUUAGACUUUUUGAUUCCUGUACCACUGGAGUCCUAGAAGAUUUAGGUACUGUAGUGUCAGUUUACCUUUUGUAAAGGGCCAUAAAGCAAAAGCCAGCUACAGAGGAGGACUCCAACAACUCUACAUACAUUUUCAAAAAUGUAUCCAAAAUUAUUUAUUGUUUUUAACCUGUUGGAGACUAACCUCAUUAUUUUUUCUUCCUAUUAUUGGAAAUGAAAUUCCUGUGAUAAUAUUUUCGUAAUGCAAAGCUAGUUGACAUAUAUUGAUUGGCACUGAUACCAGAGUCUUUUUGGACAGGACUUAAUCUACAAAGUUAAAUAGAGGAGUUAUGCUUGUUUAAUUUGGUGUUCAUAGCAAUAAUGACAAAAAUAGCAAAAAGAAAACUAAAGGGUUUUGUUUUCUAGGAAAUAAAAUGUAUAGUUUCCUUCUAAAUUAGAUGUAUUUUUUAUUGUUUCUGACCAGUACAUAUGGUUGUAAAACUAGUAGGCUGUGGGGAGCAACUCGGACUAGACUAAGUUACUCGAAUUAAGACUUAUUCUAUGCAUCUGCUCUCCCACAAUAUGGCGCUGGGAGAGGAGUAAACAGCUUCUACUCAGCUACCUCUCGCCAACUUGAGUGAUGACCUGCAGGAGCUGAUCCUGCUCCUGAUUGGAGGAGAGCAGCGUACUCGGCGUGUGGGUAGCAGAGUUGGGAUUGGUGGAAGAGGACUAUAAAGGAGGAGAGAGACAACAUGCACCAGGAAUACCUGAGGAACAUCUGAGCAGCCCCCGAGAGAGCUGGCUGGUGGUGUGCCGCUCCCCCGCGGAAGUGUGGAAAGUGGCAGGGGGAACCACCCUUCCACGGAGGUGGAAGGGUCGGUAGCCAACCCGGGAAGAACCAGCAGCAAACCCGGGGAGGGCCGAGCAGACAAAAGAGCAGCGCAGGGUCCUGUGUCGUUCCUCCGCGAAGAGGGGGAGCGACAGUAGGCAUUUUUAAAAAGAGUUAAAGCACUUAUCUUAAAUGUAAAUGAUCAUAGUUGGAAUUGAUGGAUUGAUUAUACCAUUUAAGAACUUCCAAAUAUUGACUUUGAGGCUUAUUGGUCUGUUCACCAUGACAUAUGGGUGAUUUGUAGAUAGUCAAUGAGAUUGUCAUGAAAUAUUCUGAAAGUAUAAUGUUCUGCCCAUCAGAGGUAUAGAACCAAUUCCCAGGAAGAUCUGUCAAAUAUACAAGGUUUGUUACCUGCAGAAGACCAGGUUGAAAGCAUCCAAUAAAGUUGCACUCAGAUAUCUUCAAACUGGGAAUGCGAAGUCAUUAUUGUUGUGUUUUUCGCAGUCAAUAGUAAGCAGUUUCAUUCUGUAAGUCCAUUUUAUCAGAAAUGGUAGCCCCAAACAACAGUGGGGAAGCAGAAUUAGCUCUGAUCAUAAAGGGAUGUAGAAAAAUGAUAUUCCUUGUGUUCCAGUUAUGUGGGCAAAUUACUCACUCAGAGAAUUAGAACGUGAGGAUUAAUUUAAGAGAAAAAGAAAAUCAAGUUUCCAUUCAUAUCAACAGGACUUUGAAGGAAGCAGAGAAAAAGCUGCUGUGUUUUUGUUGUGAUGAUAAACAAAGGCAAAAAGUAACCAAAUAAAUCUGAGCUCGGAAAAGGAUCUUUACUGUAAAUCAACUACUCCAGGAAGGAUUCUAAAUAUGUACAUAUAACAUACCAUAUGUAAUAUAUAUUUAUAUGUCAUUAUAAAUUUAUUAAAAUGAACAUCCAGCUUUCUGACAUACCAGCAUCAAUUCUUCAAUAAAUGUAAGAUAUUCUUUUUAAAAUGAAGUCUAUUUUAUGCCUUAAACAUAUGAGUAAUGAAGACUAUUUUACAAAGUUCAAUUUGGGUAACUUGUGUUAAGACACAAGAUGCUCUGAUUAAUGUAUUGUAAUGAUAGUAUUUGCUUUAUUAUAAAUCCAUGACACUUUAUGUGACUAACAAAGAUGUAGCACACAAUAUUGUCUUCGCAUGGCUGCGGUGAGACACACUGAUAGCUGACGACAGCCCAUUUGCCUGUUUUGAAAAAUUUUUCCUAAAGCUCUUGUGUUGCUUGAGUUUUCCCCGACCACUGGUUCUAGAACAGAAUGAAGUUAAAUAGCCUAACUGUGUCUCUGUCUUCAGAUGCAAGUGCAAUUUUUUAAACAUUUGCACUAAGCUCAUCUUAAAAGCAAUGAGACAAAAAUGAGGAGAUUAGUCAUACAAAAGGCCAGAAAAAUUAUGUAUUAUGGAUUAGCUAAAUAUUGGAUUUCUUUAUAUUGGACUCUAAUCAGUUUCAGAUUGCAGUUAGUUUUAUUUCUGGAAAGAGGACUGAGUGGAGCUGUUUCUUUUGUAGAGUCAGAAGCCGUGGUCGCUCCAGCAGUUCUCAGUCUGUACAAUGUGGACCUCUCUGAGGAACCAUCAGCAGGGCUGAUCAUAAAUCAUAGAGCUUUCUGUUUACCCUAUGACUGCUCUUUAAAAACAGGAUCAAUGCACUUCAUUGCUGAAACCUGAAAACAAGUAUCUAAGGGGGGUGGGGAGAGUGGCAGAAAGACAAUAUUAAAAAGGUCAAACGUUAAUUCACCUUGGUUCCCAGAAAUAUUCCUUACAAGUUUUUGAUGAAAACAAUUUCAUAGCCCUUGAUGAUUACAUUAUAACAGGCCCACAUUCAGGAACAUUAAAACUAGUUACAUGCUCAUUUUUAUUCUAAAAAUUCUUAGCUUUUCUAAAGCAACAUCUUCCUUUUGAAGUCCAGGGGAAAAAUAAAACAACUGACCAAUUUCUGGAAUACAGAUUCUCACAUAAAUACCGACUAGAAAAUUUUUUCAGGAGAUAGUUUUUAGCAAAAAGAAGAGUAAUAUCAUUUCCAAGGUGCAUGUUUUGUGCAGCAUGAAAUGUAUGAAGUAAAAGAAACUAAAAGAUGCAUGUUUUUAUUCUAUUUCACUUUCUUGGCACUUGAAUAACAAUUAUAUCACAAACAUUCCCUUGCAAUUCAUCUGUGUAAAAAUCCAUAAAAUAACACCUUCCAGAUGAAAUAGAAAGAAAAAACUUUCCAUUUUUAUUACUUUAAAAUGUAUUCCUUGUCCCAGAGCCCACCAUUUUCCAAAAUAUGUGGUUUGAAGAAAUAGCAUUAACAACUUCUUGCAUAAAAAACUUUUAUGAAAGCAAACUUUGAGUGAUUUUCUGGUAAAUCUAAUUUAUUUAAAUUAGCUUUAUUUAAUUACACAUACAGCUGUUCUGUGCCCCGAACAGGGCCCAAGAGACUAUUUAAAGUGCUUAAGUCUAAAUGUCAUGUUUUAUCACUGUGUAAUAUGUAGCAAACUACAGCAAAAAAAUUUCACUGUUCACUGGGUAGUACUUCCAGAAUACAGCAUUAUUUUCCUUGUUUGUUUUAAUCUUCUAUAUAGUAGUUAUAAAAUUACAAGUUAAAUGUAAGUAGAACUGACAUUCAUGCCAUAAUUCAGGUUAUAGUUAUUUCCUUGUUGAGAAGGGACUCAUUUUGGUAGCUUUAAUUACAAUCUAUAUCUAGAGUUUCCAAGAUCCAUAUCAUAUUUCUAUUUAGUUUCAAGACCCCUACACCCAGUGUCAUCACCUUAAAUAAUCCACAAAUCCAAAGAAAAUUCAUUAUAUUUAUUUCAACCAAUACAUCUUGUGGUAUUCCAACAUCAUCAAAUUGGCUCCACUGAACAUUGGGCCUACUGAUUCUUGAAUGAUUUGGGGGACAAAAUGGGUAAGAGUUGACAUCACUUCUGUUCUCAUGGAAUGAACUAAAAGCUGUAUUACAGCUUACCACAUUCAAGAGAACUUGGACUUGAGUCAGAUAAAUUGAAUUUGAAUCACAGCCUUACUAUUAUUGACCCAGUAAUUUUGUGCAAAUCAUUUUUGGAAGUGGUUUACUCAAAUAUGAUCAAACUUCCCAAUGAUAUCUAGAAAAUCCAAGAAGAAAAUAUAUGUGAAAAUGUUAUAUAAGGCAUAAGGAUUUAUGCAAAUAUUAGUAAUUCUUAGCCUAUUCCUAAAAGAAGAACCCAAUGAGGAAGAUAGUCCUGAAAAUAGAAUAAGCCACCUUGUUAAUAAAAGAAUAGUAUAUAAGCCUCCACUACUGAAUAGUCAUAUAACACAAAUUGGUUCCAUGAAAUUUCAUAAGAACUUAACCAAUUCCUAUGCUAACUAACAAUGUAGAAAACAAAAUAACUCAUGAGCCAGGUAAAGCCAAGCAUUUCAUGUACAGAAAUCUUUAGAAAAGAAGGUUAUGUUUCUUGGCAAUGUUAUAGAUCUUUUAUGUUAAUAGAAAUUAAUGGGUAAUUUACAUUGAAAUAGAGGUCAGAAGUAUAACAUCUCUAACUUACUUAUGAAACAGUUUAGAUAUUGCAAUAACCAAGAUCAAGGUGUGACUUUUGUCAAAUUUUAAAGCUUUUUUUUCGUUCAAAGGCUCUUCCAAUACAAUUAAAUUGGAAUGAGAAUCUUUCAUAAGUUCCACUGUAUUAUGCUACCCAGUCAGCCCAGGUGAUUGGCUUAAAUUGGCACAUGAGUGGGUUGGAUGGCACACAUUUUAUGAAGUAUUAUUUGCUAGCAUGACUGUCUUUAUAUUGGAAGAUUUUGUGGAUCCCUCUUUAUUUGAUUUUAGCAUGUUUCAGUAUCCCCAGAAGUAGUGAAAAAGUUUUAUUUCCUAAUGGCAUUGAACCAUAUCACUCCUGUAGUAAAUCUACAAGCCACAUACAUAAGCAGUCACUGGUCUUUUCCACUUUGAAAGAGUGGCUAAUGAGAAUGUCAGAGGAAAUUUUUAAUCUUCUUUUCCUCUCAAAAAGCAAUUCAAAGUCACCUGUGCCAUGCAUUCAAAUGCUUGUCUCCUACACACCCAAAACACUGCCAACUUCCAAUCUUCAUUGCACUGUCAUUGAAUUUGUUUGUAUGGGUUAUAUCAUCUCCUGCCCCAACCUUUAUUCCCCCCAAAAUUUGAGGGCCGAGAGUUUUAUCUGCUUAUCACAUUAUGUCAGUCUUUUGCAAACAAGCUGUAGCAGGUACCUGAUAAUCUUGGGGAUAAUUACUCUUACAGUAAUUUGCAACACUAAUGAUACUUUCCCAGUUUUUUUAUGGUGCAAGUGUUUUAUGCUUUAUUAAUUUGCACUUGGUCUUUUCUUUGGUAUUUUUCCUCAUCUGAGAGUUUUACAGGUCUACUGCUUGUACUGUUCCCAUGAAGAAUAUUUCCACUCUGAAAGAAGGAAAAUGAUUAUGGUUAUACUGAAAAGGCCAGAUGCUGCCCUUUAUAGGAAAAAAUAUAUUAUAAAACUUGGCUUUGUGUCUUUCCAGAAUAGGAGGGUCUCCUGCUCGAGGACAGCACUCCAGUGAAGACAAUCUACUGAGAAUAGAGGAAGAGAAUACUUCGAGACACGUCGUGGAUUCAGAAACAAGCAAGAAAGCUUGCAGAGACAGAGGAACAGCAUCUAGAGAAUGGCACAUAUGUAAUGGAUGAAGUUUGAUGAGUUGGGACAUAGACAAGCACUCUUGAUGCCAUCACUAUGAUUAAGGUAACUGACAUAUCCAGCACUUCCCCAAGUUUCCUCAGCUCCUUCCAUUUUUGUGUGUGGAUAGAAAGAACUUAAGAUCUAUGUGCUUAACAAAUUUUUGAUGUGAUCUUGUUUUUUAAUUAUUUUACUUUUUAUUAUGAAUUAUUUUUCUGUAGAUUUGGGUUUUGCUUCUUUUCUAAUAUCUUGUGUUCAAUACUUAAUUAUUUUUUGUUCUUUCUUUUUUCAUAAUUCUUGAAGGCUAUAUCAUUUCUUGAAAGCACUGCUUGGGAAAUCCUUCCACUUGUCUUGAAUCAUGUUGUUUAGGGUAACAUUUCAGCUGUUUAAAAAUUAGAAAAGUAUCAACAUUCCAGAAUUUGGUUUUCUCAUAUUUCUAUGAUUUCUAUUUUUUAUUACAGAAAAUUUGGUCAAUUAUAUAACUUCCUUUUAAAAUAUUUAUUUGAAAAGCAGAAUCACUUCCCAAAUGACCUCAAAAACUGGCACGUGGUCAUACAGAAACCAGGAGUCAGAAACUCCAUCAGGAUCUCCUAUGUACUUGAGACAUUUUCCUCUGCUUACCCUCAGGCACUUUAGCAGGGAGCUCGAUUGGAAACAGAGCAGUAGAAUGUGAACCCUCACUGUAAUAUAGUAUGCUGACGUCACAAAUGGCAGCUUAGUGUGCUAAGCCACAACACUGGCCCCUUCUGCAUUUUGUUUACUUAUUUUAUUGACAAAUACAUACAUAUUUUAAAUGAAUAUUUAAUGGGCUUGUACUGUGGCAUAGUAGGUUAAGCCUCUGCCUGCAGUUCAGGCAUCCCAUAGGGGUGCCAGUUUGAGUCCUAGCUGUUCCACUUCUGAUCUAGCUCUGUGCUACUGGCCUGAGAAAGCAGCAAAAGAUGGCUCAAGUGCUUCAGUCCCUGCACCCACAUGGGAGACGCAGAUGAAGCUCCUGGCUUCGGACCAGCCCAGCUCUGGCCAUUGUGGCCAUUUGGGGAGUAACCAGCUGAUGGAAGUCCUUUCUCUCUGUCUCUCCCUCUAUCUGUAACUCUGCCUCUCAAAUAAAUGAAUAAAUAAAUCUAUAAAAAUUAAUGAAUGCUCAAAGAACACAGGAGUUUUGGGAGAGUGCUCUUUACAUUAAGUUCUAUAUAAAGAUUUGUUAUGUAAUUUCAAGCUAUUUGGGGAAUUUGGGUUGUACUUGUUUUAUUGAUUUCAAGCUUAAUUCUAUUGCAGUUAGGGAAGCAUAUUUUGACUUAUUUCAAUAAUUGAAAUGUACCCAUGUUUCCUUUAUGGUCCAGUGUAUAAUAGAUUUUGGGAAAUAGUCCAUAUACAUUUGUAAAGGAUAUACGUCAUCAUUGUUGAGUGAUGUGUCCCCUAGACAACAUUAGGUCAAGGCUUGUAAUUGUGUUGUUCAAAUCUACAUUCUUUCUGAUCUUUUCCACUUUUUCUGUCAACUAUUGAGAGAAAAUAGUUAAAGUUCCCAAAUAUAAUUUUAUUGUGGAUUGGUUUAUAUCUCUUUUAGAGAUAAGAUAGUAAGAGGACUCACUAACUCAAGCCCCUGCUGACCUGACUUGUACCCCUCCCCUGAGUAUGUAUCCGUCUCCAGCUACAGAUCAGUCAGGAGUAAGGCGAAUCCAGACCCUAACCACGAAAGACUACUGCCCAUAAGGCACUAUGCCAGAAUGCAUGUAUACCCACCUUAGCCCAGCUCCACUGAUGCAUGACCUUCCCAUUGUCCUUGCUGGAGAGGCAGCAAUGAGCAACGCUGCCAUUUGGAGUGUGUCCUGUGCAGAAGAAGGAACUGUGCCUGCACAGAACCCAGAGCUGAGUGCAAACCAAAGUAUGAUGCUGAAAGGGACAAACCAGAACUCCAGGCCAGUGCAGAUUGAAGUGCUUUGUGAUAAGUGGGAACCACCAUGCUUCCCCAUCCGAUAAAAAUCCCUGCCCAGCUCCCCCUCCCCUCCUUGAGCCAGUCAGCAGAACCUCUUCCCAUCCUGCUGGUUCUUCUGUGCUUGAGCAUAAGCCCCCAGUGAUCUUUGCCUGGGUUGCAUGUUGGACUCUUGUUAGUUUCUAUUUGCAAAUGAGCCAAAGAACUUGGGCUCAGUAUCAUUUUUAGUUUUAUCAACUUCUGUUUUUCAUGGUGUCAAAGUUAAGGUUUUUCUUUUUUUUUUAAUUAUUAUUAUUUUUUCUUUUUUUGACAGGCAGAGUGGACAGUGAGAGAGAGAGACAGAGAGAAAGGUCUUCCUUUUGCCGUUGGUUCCCCUCCAAUGGCUGCCAUGGCCAGCGCGCUGUGGCCGGCCCAGUGCGCUGAUCCGAAGCCAGGAGCUAGGUGCUUCUCCUGGUCUCCCAUGCGGGUGCAGGGCCCAAGAACUUGGGCCAUCCUCCACUGUACUCCGGGGCCACAGCAGAGAGCUGGCCUGGAAGAGGGGCAACCGGGACAGAAUCCGGCGCC